AACGCACAUUGCGCCCCCUGGCAUUCCGGGGGGCAUGCCUGCCCGAGCGUCAGGAACGUCCAUCGGGCCUCCCCCAGGCCCGGUCCUGGACCCUGCGGGCACCCCGCAGGUCCCAAAUCUCGUGGCGGCGCCGCGAGGCUCCCGAGCGCAGUAGCAGAGCACCGCUGCGGGUGCUCGCGGCCGCCGGCCAGCCUCCCCAACCCCCAAGGUUUGACCUCGGAUCAGGCAGGAGUACCCGCUGAACUUAA
rnacentral:misc_RNA from 1 species